rnacentral:rRNA from 1 species
GAUGAACGCUAGCGGGAGGCCUAACACAUGCAAGCCGAGCGGUAGAGUUUCUUCGGAAACUUGAGAGCGGCGCACGGGUGCGUAACACGUGUGCAACCUACCUUUAUCUGGGUGAUAGCCUUUCGAAAGGAAGUUUAAUACCCCAUAAUAUAAUGAUUUUCAUCCAUUAUUAUUGAAAACUCCGGUGGAUAGAGAUGGGCACGCGCAAGAUUAGAUAGUUGGUGAGGUAACGGCUCACCAAGUCAAUGAUCUUUAGGGGUCCUGAGGGGGAGAUGCCCCACAGUGGUACUGAGAAACGGAGGAGACUGAUACGGGAGGCAGCAGUGAGGAAUAUAGGACAAUGGGUGAGAGCAUGAUGCAGCCAACCCGCGUGAAGGAUGACGGUGCUAUGGAUUGUAAACUUCUUUUGUACAGGGAUAAACCUACCCGCGGGAGGGUAGGUGAAGGUAAUGGACGAAUAAGCACCGGCUAACUCCGUG